GUGGCCUAGUGGUUAGAGCGUCCGCCUCGGAUGCGAGAGGUCGUGGGUUAGAUCCCAGGUCGACA